rnacentral:rRNA from 1 species
UACGAAGGGGGCUAGCGUUGCUCGGAAUCACUGGGCGUAAAGGGCGCGUAGGCGGAUCUUUAAGUCGGGGGUGAAAGCCCAGGGCUCAACCCUGGAAUUACCUUCGAUACUGAAGAUCUCGAGACCGGAAGAGGUAAGUGGAACUGCGAGUGUAGAGGUGAAAUUCGUAGAUAUUCGCAAGAACACCAGUGGCGAAGGCGGCUUACUGGUCCGGUUCUGACGCUGAGGCGCGAAAGCGUGGGGAGCAAACAGG